rnacentral:snoRNA from 1 species
AACCCAUGAUGGGAACACUGGUUGAUGUAGCUUCUAAAUCUUUCCCAUGCUUCACCAAAGGUCUCAUUGGUGUGUUGGGUAAAGCUUGAGAUUUGAUUCCUUAGCUU